UUACUCUGGCUUCUCUUCAUCGUAUGAUUCUUUCGCCUUUUACUAAAGAAUUCCGUGGAGGGGAGCAUUUCAAUGAGUCUUAAGAUAUUUUUCUGCAACUGACUUCGGUUAGGUU
rfam:Ciona savignyi cont_23127, whole genome shotgun sequence.